rnacentral:rRNA from 1 species
GAUGAACGCUGGCGGCGUGCUUAACACAUGCAAGUCGAACGAAGCAUUUAAGACAGAUUACUUCGGUUUGAAGUCUUUUAUGACUGAGUGGCGGACGGGUGAGUAACGCGUGGGUAACCUGCCUCAUACAGGGGGAUAGCAGCUGGAAACGGCUGGUAAUACCGCAUAAGCGCACAGUACCACACGGUACAGUGUGAAAAACUCCGGUGGUAUGAGAUGGACCCGCGUCUGAUUAGCUUGUUGGCGGGGUAACGGCCCACCAAGGCGACGAUCAGUAGCCGACCUGAGAGGGUGACCGGCCACAUUGGGACUGAGACACGGCCCAGACUCCUACGGGAGGCAGCAGUGGGGAAUAUUGCACAAUGGAGGAAACUCUGAUGCAGCGACGCCGCGUGAGUGAAGAAGUAGUUCGCUAUGUAAAGCUCUAUCAGCAGGGAAGAUAGUGACGGUACCUGACUAAGAAGCUCCGGCUAAAUACGUG